rnacentral:ncRNA from 1 species
UUUUAGGGGUGCAUCACCGUCGGCUCGCGGCGGUGGGGCUGAGAUCAGACCCUUUUAACUUGAUCCGGUUAGUACCGGCGUAAGAAACAA